UAAGUGGCAGGGUCGGUUUGGAAUCCAGGCCUGAGUCCGUGUCCGGAGCGAGCAAUACACUCUUCCGCCUCCGCCAAAGGAAUGAUGGUGGGAGAUGGGAGAGUCGGAGAGUCUCGGAGGGAGGGCAGCUAGAGGAUCCGAGGAGAACAGAAGAGGAUUGCUGUGAGGACAAACAAGAUACAUCUCGAAAAGUACUUAGGACACACCCGGCCCCUGCCGAGGGCUUCGCAAAAAGACCGGAUCUAGAAGGAGGAGAACUUGAACAGGACUUCAGCUGACACGUGAUGUGAGUGAGAGAUAAACCAGGGUGGGGAUGAGCCACGAAGAUCUGGGGAUUGUUUGUUCCGCAGCACAACCUGGCAAAAACUGACCGAGACACAUAAAGAAUGUUUUACAUAAUAAUUGCCAGUUCGGGUAAAUCAAAGAUUACUCUGUUUCUUAAAAGACUA